rnacentral:rRNA from 1 species
GAGUUUGAUCCUGGCUCAGAGUGAACGCUGGCGGUAGGCCUAACACAUGCAAGUCGAACGGCAGCACAGGAGAGCUUGCUCUCUGGGUGGCGAGUGGCGGACGGGUGAGGAAUACAUCGGAAUCUACUCUGUCGUGGGGGAUAACGUAGGGAAACUUACGCUAAUACCGCAUACGACCUACGGGUGAAAGCAGGGGACCUUCGGGCCUUGCGCGAUUGAAUGAGCCGAUGUCGGAUUAGCUAGUUGGCGGGGUAAAGGCCCACCAAGGCGACGAUCCGUAGCUGGUCUGAGAGGAUGAUCAGCCACACUGGAACUGAGACACGGUCCAGACUCCUACGGGAGGCAGCAGUGGGGAAUAUUGGACAAUGGGCGCAAGCCUGAUCCAGCCAUACCGCGUGGGUGAAGAAGGCCUUCGGGUUGUAAAGCCCUUUUGUUGGGAAAGAAAUCCAGCUGGCUAAUACCCGGUUGGGAUGACGGUACCCAAAGAAUAAGCACCGGCUAACUUCGUGCCAGCAGCCGCGGUAAUACGAAGGGUGCAAGCG